UAGCGUAGGGUGCAAGCGUUAAUCGGAAUACUGGGCGUAAAGCGUGCGCAGGCGGUUCUGUAAGUCUGUCGUGAAAUCCCCGGGCUUAACCUGGGAACUGCGUUUGAAACUACAAGGCUAGAGUGUGGCAGAGGGGGGUGGAAUUCCACGUGUAGCAGUGAAAUGCGUAGAGAUGUGGAGGAACACCGAUGGCGAAGGCAGCCCCCUGGGUUAACACUGACGCUCAGGCACGAAAGCGUGGGGAGCAAACAGG
rnacentral:rRNA from 1 species